GGGUAGUUUGACUGGGGCGGUCUCCUCCCAAAGCGUAACGGAGGAGCACGAAGGUUAGCUAAUCCUGGUCGGACAUCAGGAGGUUAGUGCAAUGGCAUAAGCUAGCUUGACUGCGAGCGUGACGGCGCGAGCAGGUGCGAAAGCAGGUCAUAGUGAUCCGGUGGUUCUGAAUGGAAGGGCCAUCGCUCAACGGAUAAAAGGUACUCCGGGGAUAACAGGCUGAUACCGCCCAAGAGUUCAUAUCGACGGCGGUGUUUGGCACCUCGAUGUCGGCUCAUCACAUCCUGGGGCUGAAGUAGGUCCCAAGGGUAUGGCUGUUCGCCAUUUAAAGUGGUACGCGAGCUGGGUUUAGAACGUCGUGAGACAGUUCGGUCCCUAUCUGCCGUGGGCGCUGGAGAAUUGAGGGGGGCUGCUCCUAGUACGAGAGGACCGGAGUGGACGCAUCACUGGUGUUCGGGUUGUCAUGCCAAUGGCACUGCCCGGUAGCUAAAUGCGGAAGAGAUAAGUGCUGAAAGCAUCUAAGCACGAAACUUGCCCCG
rnacentral:rRNA from 2 species